AUGUUCGAUGGAAUGCCAGAGCGAAACACUGUUUCUUGGAAUGCACUGGUUGCCGGUUAUGUCAAAUCUGGGAAGGUUGCUCCAGCAGUUCAGCUGAUUGUUAGGAUGGGGAGGGAGGGGUUAUGUCCAUACAAGGCAACAUUUGCUGCAUUGCUCACGGUGGUCGAUGACUCCUAUUGUUUCUUGAUGCACCAGCUGCAUGGGAAGAUUGUCAAAUAUGGGUUAGCGUUGGGCUUGAUAGUGUUGAAUGCAGCAAUCAGUGCCUACUCGCAGUGUGGGGCCCUGGUGAGUUCUAGAAGGAUCUUUGAUGAAAUUGGGGACAAACGAGAUGGGAUGGAGCAUGAGGCUACGGGAUUCGUUGCUAGCAUGACGCGAGCGAGUGGAGUUCAGCCUGACAUGUAUAGUUUCACAAGUAUCAUAAGUGCGUGCGCAGAGCAUCGCGACCACGGAGGGACAGUAAUUCAUGGUUUGGUGAUCAAGAAUGGCUUCGAAGGAGUCACGCCUGUUUGCAAUGCUCUGAUUGCCAUGUACACAAGAUUUAGUGAGAACUGCAUGAUGGAAGAUGCAUAUAAGUGCUUUGAUUCCUUGCUGCUUAAAGACACCGUCUCCUGGAAUUCUAUGUUAACUGGUUAUUCACAACACAGUUUGAGUACUGAUGCCUUGAGAUUCUUCAGAUGUAUGCAGUCAGAAAAUAUUAGAACUGAUGAGUAUGCAUUCUCUGCUGCCCUGCGUUCAUGCUCAAACCUUGCUUUACUUCGGCUAGGUAGACAAAUACACGGUUUAGUCAUCCAUUCUGGUUUUGCUUCCCACAAUUUUGUCUCCAGCUCGCUGAUCUUCAUGUAUUUUAAGAGUGGCAUUCUUGAUGAUGCAAUCAAGUCUUUAAUU
rnacentral:rRNA from 1 species